UGUUCAGAUGUUUUUGUUGGGAUGAGCUUGGUUUUUCGGGGGUGGCAAUGGUUCGAGGGGCAACAGCAAGGCGAGAAGGAGGACCCCCAUUUUUGCUCAUCUCCCUCAUCUAGAACCGGACGGACAUAGGGCCCGAGAGCAGAGCAAAGUCAGAUGAUGAGCUCAUUUUUCUCUUUUCAACAGGAAAAGGAGACGGAUGAAUACACAGA
ensembl:ncRNA C10C6.12 ncRNA